AGAUCAUUUUGAGGACAGUUUCUCAACAAACCCUUGUAUUGCUCCCACGCUUCGUACAAUGACUUACCCGCUUGUUGCUUGAAAUUUUCAAUAGCCUUCUUCAACUU